rnacentral:rRNA from 1 species
UACAGAGGUCUCAAGCGUUGUUCGGAUUCAUUGGGCGUAAAGGGUGCGUAGGCGGCGCGGUAAGUCGGGUGUGAAAUCUCGGGGCUUAACUCCGAAACUGCAUUCGGAUACUGCCGUGCUUGAGGACUGGAGAGGAGACUGGAAUUUACGGUGUAGCGGUGAAAUGCGUAGAUAUCGUAAGGAAGACCAGUGGCGAAGGCGGGUCUCUGGACAGUUCCUGACGCUGAGGCACGAAGGUCAGGGGAGCAAACGGG